GCCUGGUUUAUAAUGUUUUCAAUCUGACAAAUCUGUGUGAAGCACUUUGGAUAAUAAGCAUGCAGGGGUCCCAAAACACUCCCACGGGGAAGAAGAAUACUGUAUUCCAAGAUGAGAACACUGGAGACUUUGGCCAGGAAUGUGACCCACAACUGGUGCCAGAUGGACCAAAGGUAGAGAAGUCAGACUGAGGAAGACAUCGAGCCUUCAUCAAAAAGACCCCAAAUGAUGAGCACCAGGUGGGACAGGAUGGAAAUGAGUUCCAGGAACUGACUGUAAUAACUCCACCUAUUCCCAGAACUAAUUGUGCUAACCCUACCCCUGUAUUGAAUGUGUUAUGAUUUUGCAGCAUAAGUACUUUACCUGAGCAAGGUGAAGGUGUGCAAGGGCUCUAGAGGGUGAGCCCCCCUUGUCACCCAGCACUGAUUAAAAAGCAUGUCUUACCUCUCUGACAUGUUGUGAGGUUUUUCUGUGAGUCAUUGUCUUACCUUUUAACAGGUUUUUCAACUUAACCUAAACUACUUAUAAGUUCUUAAAAUUAUUUGUAGCUUGAAUAUAAAUACUUAUAGUUUAUAGAUUCUCCUUAAAGAAUAAAACAGGAAUUGCUGUAAGUCAGAUUAAUAUUGAUUGAUGUUAUCAUGCCACUUGCUGAAAUGUUGCAACUAAACUCCUUCAAGUUUUAUGUAGACCAGUGUGAUUGUGAAUUAUCACACCCUGCAGCCCCUUAAGCUGAUGGAUUGUUGCUGUCUAACAUGUAACAGCAGGUAGCUAUCGAGGAGUAGACAUACAUAAGCUGUUGGAUCAACAGAGUUAUCUGAAAAAUGGAGCUGUUCCAUGGGCUGAGAUGCCUGAGUUUUAUUAAUGGGAUCCUAAAAUAAAAAGAUCUAGGAGUAGGUUGAGUUUUUUUCUUUUCUUUGUAGCAAAGCUAAAGGAAGUGAGGAGGGGAAAUUUGACCAUAUGCAGUAUGUUGAAAUAACUUCAGGAAUGUUACUUGAUUAUGAUGAAAAUAGAAUAAUUGUCUGUGUGUGGCCCUGCAGAUUUGAUUAUCAAAGUGCUUACUUUGGAUCAAUUCAGUAUUCAGCUUCACAGAAGACAAGAAGAGUCUUGCUCAAUCUACCAGGCCAUAUGAUGGGCAGACUUUACCGAUUGGAAGCACCUCAUCAAUGUCUUAUGGGCUGUUAAAAUGUGCAUUAAGUUUGGCAUUUUAUGAGGACAGCUGCCUAACAGGAAAAUACCUGAGCAAUUGUCUGCUAAAAGGAAACCCUUCUAAAGCCAAAUUGCUUGGUAAAACAAAUCAAAUAGCUCUUAGGGGCAAGGAUUUAACAUGACAUAAAUCAACAAUGUUGUACAGAAAUUACUCUUACUAACCUGUAGGAAUGAAUGCAAAGCACCAUCCUGUCACAGUUUUUAACCAUAUGCUCAGUAUUCUGCAAAGAAAAAGCAGGAUUUUAUCUCAAAUGAAGUAAGGUUGUCCAAAAAACCUUCACAAAAGUAGUGUGAUGGUUUGGGUGUUCCCCAUCCCCCCCCAACUUUAGAAAUCACCCAGACUAGACUCAGUCAGCUCUGGAAAUAUGAAUGAAGCUAUUUAUUUACAGCUGGCACAAUAUACAAGCAGGUAUUUACAGUCUAUGCAGUUAUAGACAGAAAUAGACAAGGGAAAGGGUAAUACAGAAACACAACUCCCCUCCCAGAAACCUGAGUCCCCAGGAGGGGCUCUCAACCACCCCUGCACCUUCCCCUACCCCUCUCAACCUUACCCCAGUCCUAAGGAAGAAUGGAGGUUCAGCCAAGAGGUUAAGAAGCAAAGGUGGGUUAGUCUAAAUGAAGGGUGAGGUUAGGGAGCAAGAUGUUGCUCAGCCAGCAGCCCAAGCCAGAGUGAGAGAAAAAUGGCCAGAGUGUUAUCUGAUGUUUUCAUUUCUUGUUCAGCAAGACUCUGAGGGAAGCAGACAUCACCACUGCUUUCCUUUUACAGCCUGUGAUCUACUUCUUCUCACCAAAACAUUCUACCCUGCUUCAUACUAGCACAAGUAGUCAUUUUGUUGCUAACAUUAAUUAUGUCUUUUGCAAGUAUAUUUUCUGUUUAGGGAGAAAAUGAAGGAAGAGCCUGAAAAAAAAAAUCCCAAACUGCUACUUAUUGAUACUGUUAUGUUUUUAGACAAGGCUAAUAAAAGGAGUAUUUUUUGA